rnacentral:rRNA from 1 species
AUGGCUGGAGAGUACCCCUCAGUAAGACUUAAGAGAGGUUUAUGGUUAAAUGAAUCUUUAGUUGAUCAACAAGUGCCUGAAUCCAACCUUGUGUGCCUUUUUUGUCCAAAUGAUUUCCUUGGUAAUGGUAUAUCAAGUACGAAGGGGAGCCUUGGUGCAGCAAUAAAGCUAUUGCCUUGUAAUCAUGAGGUCACGGGUUCAAGUCCUGGAAACAGCCUCUUGCAGAAAUGUAUGGAAAGGCUGCAUACUGUAGACCCAAAGUGGUCGGACCCUUCCCCGGACCCCGCGCAAGCAGGAGCUACGUGCACCGGGCUGCCCUUUUUUGGAACUGGAGGGGAUACUGGAGACCGUGAACCCGCAGUCGCCAUCACUUGA